rnacentral:misc_RNA from 1 species
AACCAUAGAAACCUGCGGAGUACCUGCGGAGGGAUCAUUAUAGUAUAUGGAAUCUCCAUUCUAUAAACCCACUCUGCGUAUCUUGUAACUGUUGCUUCCAUGGGACUUGGUUCCGCCACACCGGCUUCACGGCUGGUGAGCGCCCAUGGAAGGAGAAACAAAUCUCUUCUUUGAAAUGUAGUCAGUCUGAACAAGUUUUUAUAAACGUUAAAACUUUUAGCAAUGGAUCUCAGAUCGGAA